GGAAAAUUCUUUUGAGUGUGAGAAAUCAUUUGAUCAAUUGUCUCUAGGCAGUACCAUGGAAGAAGACUAACAGAGUGUAAUUUCUGGAUUGUGUGGACCUGCCCAUCAAGCAGGUGUCCAGCAGAGCUGGAAAGACUUCAAUCAAUGCCAAUGUUCCCUCCUGCUGAGGCUCAAGCAACAGAGCAGCGGCUCAUCUCUCGCACACAAGAUCGGCAUGCGAUGACGUCACAUCUGGUUUCGCCACGUCUUGUGGGAAAAUACCGGUUUGGGAUCGAUGCAAGAGCGGGGGCUCGCACGAGGGAGACCAGAGCAAGAAACAGACCUGUGCAAGAAGUUGUUUGUAAGCAUUAGAAAUCACAGUGAGAGCAACUCUGUAAGUUAAUAGAUAAUCGAUAUGCUGAAUUAAAAUGUUAACUCCGAUCCCGUUAAAAGUAACGACGGCCGAUAAGGUUUAUGUUUUCGUUAGUUAAAGAGUUGCGGAUAGUUUGUGUUGAAGUGUAUUUAAAGUGGUCCAUGGCGUAGGUAGAUUCUGACUGUAUGCUGCACUUUAAUGUAAUGUAGUUGUAGUUUACUUUUACAAGUAUUUACGAUGUAAAUGUGAUAUCAAGAAGGGAACAAAUACUGUAUCAAUCUUGUAUUGUUUUAUCAACAGUUUUCACCAUACGUUAAUGUGAAGAGUGAACAGUAAAUGGUUAAUCUUACUGCGACCUUGUUUUCAAUGACUACUGUUUAUCUCGGCGUUUAAUUCGGCGUUUCCAUUACUCCCGAGCGAGAACGCUACACUGGUUACAAAAUAGUUCAGAAUUCCAUUUGGCCAAAUGUUGCUAAACAAAACAGACACUCUCACACUGUACCAGAGACUGACAGGUACAGGCUGAAACCCAAAAUCUCACACUGUAUCAGAGACUGACAGGGACAGAACGAACCCCACACUCUCACACUGUCCCAGAGACUGACAGGUACAGAAUGAACCCCACACUCUCACACUGUACCAGAGACUGACAGGUACAGAAUGUGUUGAAGAACAUUUACCUGUCUGGAUACGCCCG